rnacentral:tRNA from 1 species
GAGAAUGUGGCUCAGUGGUGGAGCACUUGCCUAGCACGCAGAAGCCCUGGGGUUGAUCCCAGCAUAUAUA